UUCCCUUCCCUUGGGUGCUCCUUGGACAGAUCUUUCCCUUUCUGGUGUCCAUAGAACAGACUUAGAUUCUGGGGUCGCCGCUCAGCAUUCUUCCAGGAGAAGGGUCGGUCUCGAGAGGUAAGGGAGAGAAAUAUCUGCAACCACGCCCUUCCUGGCGCGCCAAAUGAUAAAGCCAUAUUUGCAGCUCCUGUAUCUCCGGCGUCAGUCUGCGGUAAGUCCGAUGAGGUGAUGGAAGCUGAUGGUGGGUAACCUGCAAAACAAUGCAAAAGGGUGGUGUUGGCCGAUUUGCACCUCCGGCGUGACAAUCAGUCGG
rnacentral:lncRNA from 1 species